AAAAGGCGCCGGAGCCCCUAGUGAAGAUAUGAAAGACGAGAUCUGUUUUCUGGGACUUGGAAUACUGGCCCAUACUCGACACGCCUCAUAGCUUUGAUCAAAUGCAUAUCACAAAAAAUAUCCUUGAGAGUUUGCUUGGAACAUUGAUGAACAUGCCGGAGAGGACCAAGGAUGGGCCGAAGGCAAGAAAAGACUUGGAAUUUUUGAAAAUCAGGAAAGAUCUCCAAAUGCCCGGUAAAAGGUU
rnacentral:rRNA from 1 species